UAGGAAUCUACCUAGUAGUGGGGGAUAGCACGGGGAAACUCGUAUUAAUACCGCAUACGACCUACGGGAGAAAGGGGGCAGUUUACUGCUCUCGCUAUUAGAUGAGCCUAAGUCGGAUUAGCUAGAUGGUGGGGUAAAGGCCUACCAUGGCGACGAUCUGUAGCUGGUCUGAGAGGAUGAUCAGCCACACCGGGACUGAGACACGGCCCGGACUCCUACGGGAGGCAGCAGUGGGGAAUAUUGGACAAUGGGGGAAACCCUGAUCCAGCCAUGCCGCGUGUGUGAAGAAGGCCUUUUGGUUGUAAAGCACUUUAAGCAGUGAAGAAGACUCCGUGGUUAAUACCCACGGACGAUGACAUUAGCUGCAGAAUAAGCACCGGCUAACUCUGUGCCAGCAGCCGCGGUAAUACAGAGGGUGCAAGCGUUAAUCGGAAUUACUGGGCGUAAAGGGAGCGUAGGUGGCUCUAUAAGUCAGAUGUGAAAUCCCCGGGCUUAACCUGGGAACUGCAUCUGAAACUGUAGAGCUAGAGUAUGUGAGAGGGAGGUAGAAUUUCAGGUGUAGCGGUGAAAUGCGUAGAGAUCUGAAGGAAUACCGAUGGCGAAGGCAGCCUCCUGGCAUAAUACUGACACUGAGGCUCGAAAGCGUGGGUAGCAAACAGGAUUAGAUACCCUGGUAGUCCACGCCGUAAACGAUGUCUACUAGUCGUUGG
rnacentral:rRNA from 1 species